GUGGGGAAUUUUGGACAAUGGGCGCAAGCCUGAUCCAGCCAUUCCGCGUGCAGGAUGAAGGCCUUCGGGUUGUAAACUGCUUUUGUACGGAACGAAAAGCCUCUGGUUAAUACCCGGGGGUCAUGACGGUACCGUAAGAAUAAGCACCGGCUAACUACGUGCCAGCAGCCGCGGUAAUACGUAGGGUGCGAGCGUUAAUCGGAAUUACUGGGCGUAAAGCGUGCGCAGGCGGUGAUGUAAGACAGUUGUGAAAUCCCCGGACUCAACCUGGGAACUGCAUCUGUGACUGCAUUGCUGGAGUGCGGCAGAGGGGGAUGGAAUUCCGCGUGUAGCAGUGAAAUGCGUAGAUAUGCGGAGGAACACCGAUGGCGAAGGCAAUCCCCUGGGCCUGCACUGACGCUCAUGCACGAAAGCGUGGGGAGCAAACAGGAUUAGAAACCCGAGUAGUCC
rnacentral:rRNA from 1 species